rnacentral:rRNA from 1 species
CCCGCUGAACUUAAGCAUAUCAAUAAGCGGAGGAAAAGAAACUAACAAGGAUUCCCCUAGUAACUGCGAGUGAAGCGGGAAGAGCUCAAAUUUGAAAUCUGGCAGCUCUCUGAACUGUCCGAGUUGUAAUCUAGAGAAGUGUUACCUGUGCUGGACCGUGUACAAGUCUCCUGGAAUGGAGCGUCACAGAGGGUGAGAAUCCCGUCUUUGACACGGACUGCCUGCAUGUUUAUGGUGCGCUCUCAAAGAGUCGAGUUGUUUGGGAAUGCAGCUCAAAAUGGGUGGUAAAUGCCAUCUAAAGCUAAAUAUUGGCGAGAGACCGAUAGCGAACAAGUACCGUGAGGGAAAGAUGAAAAGAACUUUGGAAAGAGAGUUAAACAGUACGUGAAAUUGCUGAAAGGGAAACGCUUGAAGUCAGUCGUGUCGGCUAGAAAUCAACCUUGCUUUUGCUUGGUGUACUUUCCAGUUUGACGGGUCAGCAUCGGUUUCGGUGGGCAGACAAAGGCGCAGGGAAGGUGGCCGCUCCGGUGGUGUUAUAGCCCUGCGUUGUAUGUGCCCGCUGGGACCGAGGAAUCCGGCUCGCGCCUGGGAUGCUGGCGUAAUGGCUCUAAGCGACCCGUCUUGAAACACGG